rnacentral:misc_RNA from 1 species
UCCUGGUUAACCCAGGCAGUCUCAUUAGAGUUCCCAACUUAAUGAUGGCAACUAAUGAUAAGGGUUGCGCUCGUUGCUGGACUUAACCAAACACCUCACGGCACGAGCUGACGACAGCCAUGCAGCACCUGUGCAGCGGCUCCGAAGAGAAAUAGUGUUUCCACUAUCGUCCACUGCAUGUCAAGUCUGGGUAAGGUUCUUCGCGUUGCAUCGAAUUAAACCACAUACUCCACUGCUUGUGCGGGUCCCCGUCAAUUCUUUUGAGUUUCAGCCUUGCGACUGUACUCCCCAGGCGGUAUACUUAUCGCGUUAGCUUCGGCACCAUCGGGGUUGAUUCCAAUGACACCAAGUAUACAUCGUUUACGGCAAGGACUAC